AAUUUAGCCUGCUGAUCAGUCUAAUUCCCAAUUGGCGAUGGGAUACACAAAAUGUUUGAGAUCCACAGCCAUAUGGAGAGCACAAGAUAAAAUUUCAGAGGAUAAAAGAAAGAGAUAUGGAGAAAGAGGACACCCUUGCCAUAGGCCCAUAAUUGCCUGUUGAAACCAUUUCAUGGCCACCCCAUUGAUGAACAAAACAAACCUU
rnacentral:lncRNA from 1 species